UACGUAGGGUGCAAGCGUUGUCCGGAAUUAUUGGGCGUAAAGAGCUCGUAGGCGGUCUGUCGCGUCUGCUGUGAAAACUCAGGGCUUAACCCUGAGCUUGCAGUGGGUACGGGCAGACUAGAGUGCGGUAGGGGAGACUGGAAUUCCUGGUGUAGCGGUGAAAUGCGCAGAUAUCAGGAGGAACACCGGUGGCGAAGGCGACGUCCUGGACCGGCAUUGACGCUGAGGCGCGAAAGCCAGGGGAGCAAACGGG
rnacentral:rRNA from 1 species